AUUGAACGCUGGCGGCAGGCCUAACACAUGCAAGUCGAGCGGAUGAAGGGAGCUUGCUCCUGGAUUCAGCGGCGGACGGGUGAGUAAUGCCUAGGAAUCUGCCUGGUAGUGGGGGAUAACGUCCGGAAACGGGCGCUAAUACCGCAUACGUCCUGAGGGAGAAAGUGGGGGAUCUUCGGACCUCACGCUAUCAGAUGAGCCUAGGUCGGAUUAGCUAGUUGGUGGGGUAAAGGCCUACCAAGGCGACGAUCCGUAACUGGUCUGAGAGGAUGAUCAGUCACACUGGAACUGAGACACGGUCCAGACUCCUACGGGAGGCAGCAGUGGGGAAUAUUGGACAAUGGGCGAAAGCCUGAUCCAGCCAUGCCGCGUGUGUGAAGAAGGUCUUCGGAUUGUAAAGCACUUUAAGUUGGGAGGAAGGGCAGUAAGUUAAUACCUUGCUGUUUUGACGGUACCAACAGAAUAAGCACCGGCUAAUUUCGUG
rnacentral:rRNA from 1 species